rnacentral:rRNA from 1 species
CCUACGGGUGGCUGCAGUGAGGAAUAUUGGUCAAUGGGCGCUAGCCUGAACCAGCCAAGUAGCGUGAAGGAUGACAGCCCUAUGGGUUGUAAACUUCUUUUAUAUGGGAAUAAAGUGCAGUAUGUAUAGUGCUUUGCAUGUACCUUAUGAAUAAGCAUCGGCUAACUCCGUGCCAGCAGCCGCGGUAAUACGGCGGAUUCGAGCGUUGUCCGGAUUUAUUGGGUUUAAAGGGAGCGUAGGGGGGUUGGUAAGUCAGGUGUGAAAGUGUGGGGCUCAACCGGAAGCUUGCAGUUGAUACUGGUAGCCUUGAGUACUGGAGAGGUAGACGGAAUUCGUGGUGUAGCGGUGAAAUGCUUAGAUAUCACGAAGAACUCCGAUCGCGAAGGCAGUCUGCUGGACCGUAACUGACGCUGAGGCUCGAAAGUGUGGGUAUCAAACAGGAUUAGAUACCCCAGUAGUC